rnacentral:lncRNA from 1 species
AUGGCAGAUUUUAUCAAUCCCAAAAAAUAUGUGGAGGUUGUCAAAGCUGUAAAAUUGACAUGUGGAUAUGAUGAAGAAACUGAAAAAUACAGAGUUCCCUCACUUGCAAAGAAAAUAGGAAAUGCUUUGUCAAAACUCAGCAAAGUUGUAAAGGUCCAGGCUUUAAUUGCUGGAGACAAAGUGUUGGAGAAGAAAGCAACAGACUUUCAAGAAGUCCACAGUGAAAAGUGGAAUGAGCUGGUGUCUGCUACAGCAGCACGCAAUGCUUCAGAAUCACAAUGGAAUGUGCCAACAAUGCUGCCGUUCACUGAGGAUGUGCAAAAACUUCACACCUUUCUGAACAAAAACUGUGAUGAAUGCAGCAGUAACUUGUUGGAAGAGGCAUCAGAAAAGAACUGGUCUGCACUUGUAAAAGUGGUCAUGGCUGAAAUUAUUUUGUUCAACAGACGUAGAGAGGGAGAGGUUUCAAGAAUGCUGCUUUCUUCUUUUCUUACAAGAGACACAUCUACCCCACAUGGAGACAUAGACUGGGCACUUUCUGAGGCUGAGAAAGUUUUAUGCAAACACUUUACAAGGGUCAUUAUCAGAGGGAAAAGAGGACGUGCUGUCCCCAUUUUGCUUACCCCUAAAAUGGUGGAUGCUCUGGAUUUGCUGGCGAAAAAACGAGAUGCUUGUGGCGUCAUAAAGACUAAUCAGUACAUGUUUGCACGGCCAUCAGCAACGACCCACUUCAGAGGGUCAGACUCGCUCCGAAGUUUUGCUCUUGCUUGCAGUGCGAAAUGUCCAAAGGCUUUGACCUCAACAAAGUUGCGAAAACAUGCUGCCACACUCUCAACUGUACUGAACAUGAGCAACACAGAGAUGGAUCAAUUGGCCAACUUUCUUGGCCACGAUAUAAGGAUCCACCGUGAGUUCUACAGACUACCAGACAAAACCCUCCAACUUGCCAAAGUGAGCAAAGUACUGAUUGCCCUUGAACAAGGAAGGAUUGCAGAUUUCCAAGGAAAGAGUUUGGAUGAAAUUAACAUUGAUCCACAGGGUAUAAAGACACUUACUGACAUACAUUUCAUCAGCACUUUAUUGAAAGUUUUCCUAGACUGA